CCAGCUCUUCCAGUUGGGAGGUCCACAGAAUGUCUUCUUCCCGGCGGUUAAAGAACAGAAGUCUGGUUUUCCUGAAGACAAAAAAAACAAGCUGGAUCAAACGGGCCAUGGGUGUGAAUCCUGUUCCUGCUGCCAACAGGAAAAGGUGUGAUACAUCACGGAGGGGGCGGACAGAGAAGGGACCUUCUGGACCACUAACAGAUAUAUGCUCUCCUGGAGAGAAGCACCAAAAAAAGAUGCUGAGACACGCUGCUGGGAGCUGGCAGCAGGAAAAGACUGGGUCGGAAUGUUCAACAUGUUGCGAACACUUCGUAGACAGUUCCACUUUCCGAGACAAUCUAUUCAAUCAAUAGUAGAUUAUCACAACACGAGAGCUGACACGUUUGUAGUCCGACUGACUGCUAGGUGUCUGCAGGUUCUUCCUGGGUUUAAACACAUAAUUUCAACAGCUGAGUUGAGCAAUGUUGUUUAGCUGAAAGGCUAAUCCAUGCUAAGCUAUGUAGAAAUCAUUUUCGCAUCAACACAUUGUACAUGCGCUAGAUAAUUUUCGAUUCGAUAUGAAAAGCGACCAACAUAAAGAUGUAAGAACUAUAGACAUUCAGACUGCAAUUCGGAGUGCGGCGCAAUUGUAUUGUUCCGGGUUUUCCUGUCUGAUAAUUGACUACAAUGUUGUCGCACAUUAUGACGACUACGUCAACGCGUGACGUCAAUAGUGUACGACGGGCUUUAUUAUGAUGAUUAUAACAACAAAAUAGGCCGAAGUGACGUCAUUUACAAAUCUAAUGUCGUUAGAAAGUAAUGGUUUAGCUGCAAUAGUUAUCUGAAAGUAAUGGUUUAGCUGCAAUAGUUAUCUGAAAGUAAUGGUUUAGCUGCAAUAGCGAGUGCAAUGGUAAUCUACAUAAAAUAAAUCUGCUAAAAUAAUAAAACAAAAAUUGACCUUUGGACUGGACACUGUCAUCAUCUUCUUCUUUUGAAUCUCGCAUCUCGCCUUCUAACAUUUGGAAAAGAUGUCACCUCUGGCACACAGCCUAACUCUUCCUUGAAUCAUGGCAAAUGAAGGGUUUGCUUUUUAAAAGGCUUACCAGCUAAGAGGAUUUGGGAACACAAGUACUGCCACUUCUCGAGAAGACUGCAGAGACAUGGCUUGUGAGAGGUGUUCAAAAAACGUACAAAUAAAUAAUUAGAAAUACAUUGUAAUAAAGCUUUAUUAGACAUAAUGGGUGUCAAUACCCUUCAAUUCCGUCACAGUCUUCAUAGUUUGUUGGUAUUGAAAUCGUGUGUUCGAAUAUUUAAAUGUUUAUUUGUUAUUUGUUUAUAUUCAGACAUGUUCAGUAAUGUUUCUUUCUGUGACGUUACCAGCAGGUGGCAGCAAAGAUCAACUACAGUGUUAAAAUAGCAACAAGGCUUGGUAGCGUUGGUUUCAAUAUUCAUUUUAUAUACACUGUAGGCCAUUUCAAUAUGUGCAAUAACACUAUAAAUUGUUGUCUCUUGUUACAUCCAUUUUUUUUGUCAAAUGUUACAGUUUAUAGUAUAAUUCUGACUGUGAUCUGUCAUUUAGAAGUGCCUUGUUGUCAGUGCUUCUUUCUCCAAAUUUUCUCUGUUAUGUUCUUUUAUUGUAAAUCGCCCCCGUCUUUACCCUCACAAUUAAACUAGCACAGAUAAUUACAAUUUCACAACCAUUUGCCAGAUCAUUACCAGCUAAUCCCAUGUUUGGUCUACUGAGUCAUGUUUUUUGGGGGUUAACUGUUAAUUAAGGCUGCCAGGGAUUGUUGUACUUUCAAAACCAAAAAAAAAAAAAAACAAUCUUCAAAACAAAGUUUUUCACUUUCCUUAUUUAUUUUUUUUUUAAUCCAAGUUUCCACCAAGUUGUGAACAUGAGCAGCCUUGUAUGGCAGCAGGCACUCCAGGCUGGUCCAACACAAAGCAGACACAGUUGAUGUUGGCAGAGAUUGCAGUUAAUUAUGUCCUUAACUUGGGUGAGAGUAAAACCACCUGGUUAACAGCUUAGUGCAGCCACCUGAAGGUGAACAUGCUGUAUCCAAAGCCUGUGAUGUUAAUCGCAAUUAGCACCUUAGCAUGUGUCUGUACUGCCUUAAGCAAUGUUAGCGUGUAGCUCUGGUAGCAACACAUGCCUGGUUGCAGAGAUACUGUGGUCUUGUUUUAUGGAAGUAUUUAUUCUCUGCACACUUUGGACAGAGCCCUAAUUAUGAUGUGUAAGUGGUGUAAAUGGCAUUAUAAUUGUAAAGAUUUUUGGAAAUUGGAAAGAUUUUUGCAACGUAUUUGGAGGGUUACGAUAUCCAUCAAAUUACAUUUAACAAUAUUUCUGUUUUGUGAAAUAUUUCGCUAUAAAUAUUAGCACUAUAAA